GCACUGGCUUCCACACACGGCCAUUGCCUCUCCGCAGGCACUGUCCCUUAUCUGGACUCUGCCACAGCCUCUCCUCCUCCACUGCCAUGAAGAUCUUAAACAAAGCUUGAUGCAGGUAAACAUGAGGACCUUCAAAGCCAUUUUGGAUGUUGGAAGUGGGAAGAGCCACAAGAAGGAAGGACUAUGGGUACCAGAAUCACUCUUGGAGAUGAGCUUCAUGACAAUUAGGAGUCCCUGCUUGGGAGUACUACAUAAGUGAGAAAUAAAUAUCUGUUGUGUUAAACCAC